rnacentral:lncRNA from 1 species
UUCCUUAGGCAUAGGAGAAGAAUUUUAAAACAUAUAAAAGUAAUUACUUAGAUCGAUGCAAAAUAACAGGAAUAUCAACAGCAGUCCAAUUGUUGCAAGCCUUUCCAUGCGUCACAAAAUUGGUGCAGUCUCCCUCUUCGCUAUCCUCUAGCACAACAGUUAAGUGUUGUUCAUUUCCAUGAAUGAACCCUCCAUUACGGAAGUUGAGUUGCAUAUCUUCAUAUCUAACAAUUGAGGAGCCUUUAUGGAACCUCAAACCAGUUCUUCCCUUGUU